CUCGUAGGUGGCCAACUAAGUCAUACGUGAAAUCCCUCGGCUUAACCGGGGAACUGCGUCUGAUACUGGAUGGCUUGAGUUUGGGAGAGGGAUGCGGAAUUCCAGGUGUAGCGGUGAAAUGCGUAGAUAUCUGGGGGAACACCGGUGGCGAAGGCGGCAUCCUGGACCAACACUGACGCUGAUGAGCGAAAGCCAGGGAGCAAACG
rnacentral:rRNA from 1 species